rnacentral:rRNA from 1 species
GAUGAACGCUGGCGGUCUGCUUAAUACAUGCAAGUCGAACGGCAGCAGCACCUUCGGGUGGCUGGCGAGUGGCGCACGGGUGAGUAACGCGUACAGAACCUACCUUUUACAGGGGGAAAGUCGCUGGAAACGGCGAAUAAUCCCGCAUAAGACUACAGUAUCGCAUGGUACAGGAGUUAAAGGAGCGAUCCGGUAAAAGAUGGUUGUGCGUUCCAUUAGCUAGAUGGUGAGGUAACGGCUCACCAUGGCGACGAUGGGUAGGGGGCGUGAGAGCGUGAUCCCCCACACGGGUACUGAGACACGGACCCGACUCCUACGGGAGGCAGCAGUAAGGAAUAUUGGUCAAUGGAGGGAACUCUGAACCAGCCAUGCCGCGUGUACGAAGAAGG